rnacentral:lncRNA from 1 species
UCGAACACAUCUCCUUGCCAUCUUCCGUAAAAUACCGAAACCAAUACUCGGUAGUACUUUAUAUUUAACAAUUAAUACACAUAAUUUACAUUUUAUUCGAAAAUAACCACAAAGCAUAAUAUUUCAUGAUAAUAAUCAGCAUCAUAUCAUAUAAACAACAUUAAAUUGCUUAAAAUGACAAUUAUGUUACUACAUUUACACAUGAACUUACCUCAUAUGCGAAAAUGGCUACUUUUACCAUUUCGUCCACAACUUGGUAUUUUCCCUAUUUUAGCCCGAAUUUUAGUUUUCCUUGCUCUAUCAUUUAAAAUAUAGUCUAAUUAGGACUCAAAUUAUUCAAAUUGACCCAAAAUCAUAUUUUGGAAAAAUUAUAAUUUUGCCCCUAAACUUUUGCAUAUUUACACUUUUGCCCCAAAGCUCGUAAAUUAAACUUCAGCCUAUUUUCUUAUGUUUUAUUACAUGCUGAUCAUUUUUCCCUUCUAUCGCAAUAUCAAAUUCUCACUCUAACAUGUACUUAUGACUAUUAAGUAUUUUUACCGAUUAAGCCCUUUUGCUCGUUUUCACUUAAAACCGAGUAGCACAAGUUGUCUAACAUAAUUUAAAACCUCAUAUUCUAUGAUAAAACACCAAAAUACACAAAUUUCACCUAUGGGUAUUUUUCCAAAUAUAAACCCUAGGUUAAAUUAUUGCUAGCAUAAGCUAAAUCGAGCUAUCGGGACUCCAAAAACGUAAAAAUCAUUAAAAACGAGGCUAGAACGGGCUUACAAUCGAGCUUGGAAGCUUGAAAAACCCUAGCCAUGGUUUCUCCUUGCUAUAUUCGGCCAUGGGGUUGAAGAUGAGCAAAAUUGGCUUUUAAUUUUGUAUUUUAAUUCAUUUUACCCCUAAAUGACCAAAAUGCCCUUACUACUUAACUUUCCAAAAAUUCCAUCCAUGUCCAAUUUUUGUCCAUAGACUUAGAAAUUGGUAAAAUUUCUAUUUAAGACCUCCUAAUUAAUAUUUCAAAACAAUUUCAUACUAGAAACGUCUAGAAUGCAAGUUUUGCAAAUUAUUCGAUUUAGUCCCUAAUUUCAAUUUAAGCACUUUAUGCAUAAAAUUUCUUCACGAAAUUUUCACACAAUCAUGCAAUCAUAUCAUAGACCUUAAAAUAAUCAUAAAAUAAUUAUUUCUAUCUCAGAUUUUGUGGUCACGAAACCACUAUUCCAACUAGGCCCAAAAUCAAGAUAUUACAACUCUCCCCUCUUCAGGGAUUUUCGUCCCCGAAAAUCUUACCAGAAAAGUGGUCUUCACUUUUAAUCUCAUAUUCGGUGCCGAAGAACUUGCACUUAGACUGUACCUCCAAUACAUCUCUUCAAUUUCUCAUAUGAUCUAAAAGCUUACAGUCUCAACUCUCAACUGUUCUUAAAUUUUCAACCCUUCCCAGUUUCUCAUGAUAUCAUGACAUAAAACCUGGAUCUCAACUUGAUUUAAUGGAGGCCGGAAUUCCAAGAAAUCCAACAAUCAAAGAGACCUGAAAUUCCAUGAAUCUGAUGAGUAGGAAUUCAUUCAAUACAGAUAUGAUUUUUAGAUCUUGCCAAACAUUUAACAAUAGGAUACAUCACAUUUUCCUCUUUCCGCCAUAGAAAUAAUUCUGAUAUGGCCUCAAGAAUAAUCCUUCUCAUUUCCAUCCCAAUAUCAACACUGACAAGGAUAAUUUUGAUAGAUCCCAAUGCUCAGCUUUAACCCCUUUAACAACUCCGAUUUUAUGUAACAUCGGAUGCUCUAAACUAUCACAUUACCUCACUGUCUUGAAACACAUCACAAUUCAUACAACAAUACAUUACUAAAAGUCAAGAAGUCUUUGCUCAAUGUAGACUAGUCUAGUUCAGACGCUUCGGUUACCAAUAUUCUCAUCUAUCCGAACUCUGUCAACAUGUAAUAAACUUUUCAUCUUUCACAAGAUGGAAACCUUAUCAUUCGUAGUGACUUAAACUAAUAUCCAACUCUUUCUAAUAAAUAUACACUUCUCGUUCAAACUAUUUACUCUUUUAUCCAUACAAAAUGAAAUUCUAUUAUCUGACUUGGGAAAAAUAAUCCUGACAUAAUUGUCACAUGAAAUCUUUCAAAUAAAUAAUUUACCAUACCGACUGAAACUCGCGCUUUUAUCACCUAUGCCUUUACUGAUGUCAAAUCCUUACACAGAAAUUAGAAAAAAUCCCAAUACUAAAAUUACCACAUUACCAAGAUCAAAUUAGAAGUAUAGUCAUAUUUGACAUGAUUAUCACGAGCUGAAGAACCCACUUCGAACAUGAGUCGUAAUUGACAAAUUAUGGAACAAAGAUAACAAGAAAACCAAAUAAAGAAAUCCAAGAUAGAGAAACCUGGAAUAAAGAAAUCCAGAAUAAAGAGAUCCAGGAUAAAGAAACCCAAGAUACGAUACUAUGCCGGAGAAUCGAAAACCAAACUCAUAGAGAAAAUACGGAAUACCCCGAUAAUUCUUCAAAGAAAGAAAGUCCAGAAGAAAACAUCAUUUAAUCCCACUGAAAUCAAAUAUAACAAGAUCAAUAUAUCUUCCCAUACAUAUAUACCAGAUGAAGCAUCAAGUAGAAGAAACAGAAUCAUAAUAUCAUACAUAUUCUCUCAUCAAUUCUUAUCAGACGAAAUGAAAUAGAAUACCCGAUGAAAUAGAGAAAUAUAAAUUAUAAACCAGUCAGACUACCAAUGCUUUCAUCCAACAUAAGAAUUAGAAGACAUUCCCAUAUAACAAGAAUUCCUUUAGAAGAUCAAUAGCCAUAGAAAUAUUUCUGAGAACGGGUAAACACAUAGAACAUCUCAAAAGAGACUGCUAAAUCUGUCCAGUCAUAACUGUCACACUCAGAUAGUUCACAUUUCAAUUAUCAUUUCCCCAACUAGUUCUGCCGUCACAAAUUUCAUAUUAAACCAUUCACUAAAGAAGGCCAGUUCUGAAUAAAUUUCGAUUUACACUUUUCUCGACCUUGCACCUGAGUAAUUCGGUUUACCAAGGAGAAUUCCAUUUCUAACUGGGACAGUGCAUAACUCCAAUAAUUUUUACGUCAAUCCGAUACUUUACUGGCUCUGACUUUACUUAUCAGCUCAUUUUCAAUCUCUAAUCAUACUUAUAAUUAUUCUAUCACUGUACUCUUUGGGUUCUCAACCGGAAACUUAUUCAAUACAAAUCUCAUGAAAUUCCAUUAUAAGUACCACUUCGGUAAGGGGGAGGGUUGUAGGACCUCUGACUCGACUUUCUUAUACAUACACAUAUGACACAACUUCCAUCAUCAUAGUAACAUCAUCAAAAUCAUGUCAUUCAUUCAUGUUGGCUUACACCAAUUUUCCUAUUGUCCCAUUUAGACAAUAUACUUAUGCAUACAUUCUAUGUUUUCUAGACAGCUUUACUUAUCCAUUCAUUUAAUUAAAUUAAUUAAAGCUCAUGACAUUAUAUAAGGCCAAACAAACAUAGAUAUUUGCAUCACAAUCACAACUUUCAUUUCGUGCAUCAUCAUGUACAUAUCAUUACAAUCAUAUAAUUCAAUCCAACAAUUUAACAUAGAUAAGUUCAUUUCAUUAUAAUCCUUUAUGUCAUAAAAAUUAUAUAUCAUUAACAUUUAUCAACAUUCGACGUCCAAAUCAAGACAAGGACAUUUUCACUCGUAUCAUAAUAUUAUGACCUUUAUUCAUACCUGUAACACCCCUAUCCCGUAACCGUCGCCAGAAUAGGUAAGGGGCAUUACCGGACUUGUAACUCAUGUCAGAACAGUAAAAUUUUAAACUUUUUCUUGAAAUAAAGAUCAUUCAUUUAAAUAAGUACUAAGCACAGCCAGAGAUAAAAUUUAAACUUCACUAAGUAAACAUUCAAAAGAUGCCAUUUUCGCAUGGCUUAUAUACAUUAACCAAAAAUAUUCUUCCGCCACUAGUCUAUUCUAUACAUGCCAUAAAAUAGUUCUAAACAUAAUAGUAACAAGUAGUGGAUAGUGAUAGUGUGACUAGUUGCUGACGAUCCCCGAGCCUGUAGCUUCGCAAUGAGAUCUAUAAAACAGAGGAAAUAGAGUAAACGGAGUAAGCAUUACAAUGCUUAGUAAGUUUUAAGCAGUGUCAACAGAUAACAAUCAAAUUAUAACAUAGUUGUUCGUAUUUUUAUUUCACUCUUCCUUCGGGCAUACCAUCCCUUUACCGAAUAUGCACAUCUCAUCAUAUACAAUAGGCAGAUAAACUUUCACAUAAAAGUGAGCUCAUGUGACAUAGAUAUAUCGUAUGAUUUCACAUAACCUCUCACACUGAUCCGAUGUCACAUAAUCAUAGGAAUAGUCUCAUAGAUUGCUCUCGUAUGCAUCACAUAACUACCUUAUGAUUUAGUGCAAAUCAAGCUCACAUAUAAACUUGGAGUACAUACCUGUUUAACCUUUCGCAUUGAAUAUAUUUAUAAGCAAUUCUUAUUACGAAGUCUUAUAGCUUUAACCUCUACUCGGAUUAUCGGUGAGACCUUUAGCUUGUACAGAAUUCAAAAUGUAUUCUAUUUGAUUUCAUUUGAAACUAGGCUCAUUAAGGAGUCUAAGAAUAUAAAUAUUAUCUUAUAACCAUUUUUGUACAAAUUAUAAUGAUUUUCCAAAAACAGAACAGGGGAUUUUGGAGUCAUUCUGACAUUGUCCCACACAACUUUUAAUAUCUCUUUAUAGGGAAUUUCUUUGCUUACACGGUCUCUUUUAUAAGAAAUUAGACUAACUAAGCUUUGAUUACACAUUUUAUUCAGCUUAUAAUUCCACACCAACAAUUUAUAGUGAUUUUCUAAAAUCACGUUACUGCUGCUGUCCAAAGCAAAUUAUUACAAUUUGCUCUUAAAUUUCCAAGUCCAAACACUUAUGAACUUACCAUUUGAGUUUAAGACAUAUCAUGACCACAUCAUAUCUUCUUAAAUCAACUCAUUAUGUCCUAUUAUGAUUGAAUUUACUCAACGUUUAAUCACUCAAAACUUACAAAGGAAUCAAACUCAAAUACUUAAGAACUUACCUCGGAAAUUGCCGAACGAUUACAGAUCGACUAUUCGGUUAGGUAGCUUUUUCUCUUUUCCGAAUUAGACUCCCUAAGCUCUUGAGCUUGAAUAAACAAAUUUAAUCUAUUACAAACCAAUUAUACAAACUCAUGGCUGAAUAUAACAAGAAGACUACUGGAUUCUACUAGCCACUCAUUGCCCUAUUAUUAACCUUACUUAAUUAUAAACGCAUUCGGCAAUUUGAUAAUUAAGUUCAUAUCAUGGUAUCAUAACUAAACAUUUAUCAAUAUAUCAUUAACAAAAUAUGCUCAUGUCAAAUUUACUCCCAAUCACAUCUCAAAAUUCAGCAAGCUUAGAACUCAUUUAAUAAUUAAAUUCGGUAGCUUAAUCACUUUGCUAACUACUUAUGCAUAUAAUUCAAUGAUUUUUACAUCAUCUUAAAAUCACCAUUAUUCAAGACUUUGAGAUUUCCACAAAUGUUCAUCUAAUGCCUCUAGGCCGAACGUAAUAUUGCAUCCAAAUUCACAUAGUUUUUUUUUGUUAUAUCUAAUUCUGAUUGUACAUAAUCAUAAUUCAAUUCAACAUUAUAAACCAUUAUCACCCAUUUAGCCGAAUAUACCACGAUAAUUUUUAACAUUACCCAUGUAAAUACCUAUAGGUUCUUAUACCUUAAAUUCACACAUUUAACCCUUUAAUGCCUAUUGAUCAUUCCUUUGGUCUUAACCUAAAUGACAGCUCUCAUUCUCCAUAUUUCAACCGAAUUUUUCAUAGCAUGAAGACUUUCAUACAUUUAUAAAAACUUUCAUAACUCAUUUGGCCUUAUCAAGAACCAUUUAACAUGCAAGGAAAAUAAUCAUAGAGGAAGAAAUUAACAUUCUAAAUAGACUCAAUCUUUGACCGAAUGUACAAGGUGCCUCUAAGCCACUCAUCCAAAAAUCUUUACCCCAUUCUAGUCAUUCCCCCAUUUGACCGAAUGAACAUUUGUCUAUUGAUGCAUGAAAUUAAACCAUGGGUUAAAUAAGCUAUGCACUUAUCAAUCUAAUCUCAUAGUCAAUUAAAAAGAAAAUCACAAUGCAUACCUUAAACUAGGAUAGCCAUGGCCGAAUACCUUAGUUUUUCCUCUUCAAUCUUCCCUUUCCCAAAUUUGGCCACCAAGAAGAAAGAUGAGCAUGUAAAUUUUUUUUUCUUUUGUUAUCUUUCUUCAACUCACGGUAAUGGAGGGAGGGGGGAACAUGGAUGAGACAACUUUGUUUUCAUCACCCCUCCCUUUUCAUUUCUUUAUUACUAACCUUUUAUUUUAUUCUUUCUCCCAUAAAACACUAACACCAAAUGUUUUUAAUAGGCUUUAACUUAUAGCAUGGCCGGCCACCUUCUUGUUCUUUGGUUAAUUUGACAUGCAAAUACAAUUAUUUUGCAACAUGCAUAAAUAGGCCACUUACAUUUGCCUAGCACAUUUCUAAAUUUUCUCACAUAAGUCCUAUUUAAUAAAAUUCACUUACAAUUAACAAAAUUCAAACAUGAAAUUUACACACAUUCAUAUGUACAUAUAAUAAGCAUCAAAUAUGACAGCUAAUUAUUUUUAUGACUCGGUUUUGUGGUCCCGAAACCACUUUUCGACUAGGGUCAAAUUAAGGGUGUCACAACUCUUCCCCCCUUUAGGGAUUUUCGUCCCCGAAAAUUUCUACCGAUGCAUAGUUUAGGAUAACGUCCUCUUAUUGAAUUAUAUUCAUAUAAACAUUAGCUCAUCGAUGGCAAUUGUAAUUCAUUAUUGAUUUCGCAUCGAUCUAUAAAAUCAUUUUCUUAUCUUAAAACAAAUACAUAAACAUUUCUACAAGUAUGCACAUAUAUCUCAUUUUCUUGAUUUCAUAAGUAAUAAUCACUUAAUUUAAUUCACAAAUGCAUUUCAAACACAUAUUAAGCACAUAUUAAUAUGUAUAAUUCACAUCAUCAACCCACAUAUUUGUAACCCACAUUUUCAUUCAUGUAUAAGCUGUAACCUGACCGAAAGUACACAUAUACUCAAACAUCCCAAUAAAUAUCCUUUAUCACUCCAUCAUAUCUCACUAUUCAACUUAACCUAUUUCCAACAGAAAAUCAACUUCCACAUACCUGAACAUUGAGUUCAUUUAGCACAUUCAAUCACCGUUAACGAUACCCGUAUACAAUCGAUUUGGCAUCAAGCCUCAUAUUGUAUACCGGCAUGGGAUUUAUUUUAGCACAUAACCCAUAUAUCCAAAAUUAUCAGCAUUCAUCACAAAUUCUUACAGACUUUCAAAUGUCGAACUUAAUCGAAAUAACUUCUUGAAUAUGAUUAACAAAAAAAAAAUAGGGGUCAUUUAGCAAUAGCACAUAUGACUUCAUAUACCAAGCAUUCCAUAGACUAAAUUCGUAACACAUUUAUAAAAUGAAUUCAUUUCUUAACAACAUAUCCACCAUCUUUUUACUUUCAUCUGAUUUUCUCAUACCUUCCGUACAUACCUGUAUCACUUAUUCUGAUCUUACUUAAUUUAUCAUCUUAAAUAUACCUGUUGAAUCAUUCGAAAUCAUUAUGGAUACUCAUUAAGCACAUAUAGCUCUUACAAUGCCAUAUCCUAGAUAUGGUCUUACAUAUUCUCACAUAUCGAGCCGAUGCCAUGUCCCAGACAUGGUCUUACACACUACCUCAAAUCAAUGCCUUCGUCCCAGACGAGGUCUUACAUGAAUUCCACUUCACACACUUAGUGCCCACUGACCGAUCUCGCACUCAUAGUGCUCGGUUAAAGGAAUUCGCACACACACAGUGCCUCUAAUCAUUCACACACAUAGUGCUCUUAUUCAUUCGUUAUUACACAUUGAAAUGACUUAACCAAGUCUAUAAACAUCAUGUAUGUACACUUGUAAACAUAUCAUCUCAUUUAAAUUUGAAUUCGUAUAGUAAUGAACACUUAAACUUUGCUCAAAUUACCGGCACGAAGCCUACUAGGCACGAAGGCCCGGAUACACGUCACCAGCAUGAUUGCUCUUCGGGACCUAGCCCAGAUAUAACACCAGUAUGAAUGCUCUUCGGGGUUUAGCACGGAUAUAUCACUAGCACGAAUGCUCUUCGGAACUUAGUCCGGAUACAUCACUAGCACGAAUGCUCUUCGGGAUUUAGCCUGGAUAUAUCACUAGCACGAAUGCUCUUCGGAUCUUAGUCCGGAUACAUCACUAGCACGAAUGCUCUUCGGGAUUUAGCCCGGAUAUAUCACUAGCACGAAUGCUCUUCGGAACUUAGUUCGGAUACAUCACUAGCACGAAUGCUCUUCGGGAUUUAGCCCGGAUAUAUCACUAGCACGAAUGCUCUUCGGAACUUAGUCCGGAUACAUCACUAGCACGAUUGCUCUUCGGAACUUAGUCCGGAUACAUCACUAGCACGAAUGCUCUUCGGGAUUUAGCCCGGACAUUUCACUCUCAAUUCUCAUGUACAUAUACACAUAUAGCAAUACACAUUAGUAUAUCAUUUACAUUACUUGAAUACAAACACAACAUGCUUAUCGACCAUUCAACUUCCAGUUCCAUAGCCACAUACAAAAAUCACAUUUAUAGUCAUAACACUCUUUCAAAAUUGCAUCACUUAUACCCUUAUAAUUCAAUCCAAAUCGAAAUUCAAAUACGAGUACAUGAUACGUACCUGAUCAACUUAAUAAUUUAGGCAUAUCUAAGUGAAGUUAUAUCGCAGAUUCUCAUAGUCAGAAGCUUGCUACAGCUCGAUCGGGAUCAAGAUUCAUUACAAUACAACAAACACAUUUUAAUAGUCAAAAAUCAUCACACUAUCAUUUUAUCACUUUAUGGCACGUAUAAAUAGACUCACGCGUGCUACGUUAGUCCUAGAAUCGACUAAACCGUAGCUCUGAUACCAAUAAAAUGUAACAUCCUAUCCCGUAACCGUCGCCAGAAUAGGUAAGGGGCAUUACCGGACUUGUAACUCAUGUCAGAACAGUAAAAUUUUAAACUUUUUCUUGAAAUAAAGAUCAUUCAUUUAAAUAAGUACUAAGCACAGCCAGAGAUAAAAUUUAAACUUCACUAAGUAAACAUUCAAAAGAUGCCAUUUUCGCAUGGCUUAUAUACAUUAACCAAAAAUAUUCUUCCGCCACUAGUCUAUUCUAUACAUGCCAUAAAAUAGUUCUAAACAUAACAGUAACAAACAGUGGAUAGUGAUAGUGUGACUAGCUGCUGACGAUCCCCGAGCCUGUAGCUUCGCAAUGAGAUCUAUAAAAUAGAGGAAACAGAGUAAACGGAGUAAGCAUUACAAUGCUUAGUAAGUUUUAAGCAGUGUCAACAGAUAACAAUCAAAUUAUAACAUAGUUGUUCGUAUUUUUAUUUCACUCUUCCUUCGGGCAUACCAUCCCUUUACCGAAUAUGCACAUCUCAUCAUAUACAAUAGGCAGAUAAACUUUCACAUAAAAGUGAGCUCAUGUGACAUAGAUAUAUCGUAUGAUUUCACAUAACCUCUCACACUGAUCCGAUGUCACAUAAUCAUAGGAAUAGUCUCAUAGAUUGCUCUCGUAUGCAUCACAUAACUACCUUAUGAUUUAGUGCAAAUCAAGCUCACAUAUAAACUUGGAGUACAUACCUGUUUAACCUUUCGCAUUGAAUAUAUUUAUAAGCAAUUCUUAUUACGAAGUCUUAUAGCUUUAACCUCUACUCGGAUUAUCGGCGAGACCUUUAGCUCGGACGUAAUCUCCACACGAAGUUAUCGGGUCUUACCCGGACAAAAUCUCCACACGUAGUCAUCGGGUCUUACCCGGACAUAAUCUCCACACGUAGUCAUCGGGUCUCACCCGGAAUAUAUUUCCAAGUUUCAUGUACAUUUAAUCACAUGUUACAACAUUCACAUCGACUGUCAUAUUUGUAAUUCAUUUGCCUCAUCAAUUAUCUAAUAAUACACACCUUUCACAUUUGGUCGUUCGGCCACAAUAUACGCACAUCGCGUACAUAUUUCACACUAGCCAUUCGGCUUUACCGCAUAUAUGCAUUUUCAUAUUCACCACAUUGGCCAUUCGGCCUUAUCACACAUAUGCAUGCUCACAUUCAUCACAUUGGCCAUUCGGCCUUAUCACAUAUAUGCAUGCUCACAUUUAUCACAUUGGCCAUUCGGCCUCAUCACAUAUAUGCAUGUUCACAUUCAUCACAUAAAAUCCUAAAUCAAAAUAUAAAUUUUCAUGAAUUCACAUCACAAUUAUCCAAAUAUACUUCACAUACCACAUAUACUAUCAUGUAUACACUUUGUCUUGGCCGAAUCUACACCAAUCAUUUUCCAAUGAAUAAUUCAAUUUCACGCCAUACUAUCAUUUCAUAUUCGAAUACUCAUAAACUUACAAUUUCACAAAUUUUAAUAUCGAAGAUCCGUCUAGCACUCAUAUAUCGUUUUACAAUAUCACAAUUUAGAAUUCACGUAUGGGUUUAAUCAAUAGCUUGUGAGCAACUAAAACAAGUUUUAUCCAUAUUUACAACAAAAUCACAUAUUCACUACGAGCUGUUUUCCUGAGCAAUAGUCACUAAAUUAUUUAUAACUGGAGCUACAAAACUCCAAAUCACUUGCCGUUAAUUUUCCCAGAAUAUAGACUCGUAUAUCUUCCAUCCAUAAAAUUUCCAGAAUUUUAGGUUUGGCCAAUCAGUACCAGAUUUUUCUUAAAGUUUCCCCUGUUUCACUGUUUGACUAAUCUGACCACUCUUCACUAUGAAUCAAAUUUUUCAUUGUACAGAAUUCAUAAUUUAUUCUAUUUGAUUUCAUUUGAAACUAGGCUCAUUAAGGAGUCUAAGAAUAUAAAUAUUAUCUUAUAACCAUUUUUGUACAAAUUAUAAUUAUUUUCCAAAAACAGAACAGGGGAUUUCGGAGUCAUUCUGACAUUGUCCCACACAACUUUUAAUAUCUCUUUAUAGGGAAUUUCUUUGCUUACACGGUCUCUUUUAUAAGAAAUUAGACUAACUAAGCUUUGAUUACACAUUUUAUUCAGCUUAUAAUUCCACACCAACAAUUUAUAGUGAUUUUCUAAAAUCACGUUACUGCUGCUGUCCAAAGCAAAUUAUUACAAUUUGCUCUUAAAUUUCCAAGUCCAAACACUUAUGAACUUACCAUUUGAGUUUAAGACAUAUCAUGACCACAUCAUAUCUUCUUAAAUCAACUCAUUAUGUCCUAUUAUGAUUGAAUUUACUCAACGUUUAAUCACUCAAAACUUACAAAGGAAUCAAACUCAAAUACUUAAGAACUUACCUCGGAAAUUGCCGAACGAUUACAGAUCGACUAUUCGGUUAGGUAGCUUUUUCUCUUUUCCGAAUUAGACUCCCUAAGCUCUUGAGCUUGAAUAAACAAAUUUAAUCUAUUACAAACCAAUUAUACAAACUCAUGGCUGAAUAUAACAAGAAGACUACUGGAUUCUACUAGCCACUCAUUGCCCUAUUAUUAACCUUACUUAAUUAUAAACGCAUUCGGCAAUUUGAUAAUUAAGUUCAUAUCAUGGUAUCAUAACUCAACAUUUAUCAAUAUAUCAUUAACAAAAUAUGCUCAUGUCAAAUUUACUCCCAAUCACAUCUCAAAAUUCAGCAAGCUUAGAACUCAUUUAAUAAUUAAAUUCGGUAGCUUAAUCACUUUGCUAACUACUUAUGCAUAUAAUUCAAUGAUUUUUACAUCAUCUUACAAUCACCAUUAUUCAAGACUUUGAGAUUUCCACAAAUGUUCAUCUAAUGCCUCUAGGCCGAACGUAAUAUUGCAUCCAAAUUCACAUAGUUUUUUUUUUGUUAUAUCUAAUUCUAAUGUACAUAAUCAUAAUUCAAUUCAACAUUAUAAACCAUUAUCACCCAUUUAGCCGAAUAUACCACAUUAAUUUUUAACAUUACCCAUGUAAAUACCUAUAGGUUCUUAUACCUUAAAUUCACACAUUUAACCCUUUAAUGCCUAUUGAUCAUUCCUUUGGUCUUAACCUAAAUGACAGCUCUCAUUCUCCAUAUUUCAACCGAAUUUUUCAGAGCAUGAAGACUUUCAUACAUUUAUAAAAACUUUCAUAACUCAUUUGGCCUUAUCAAGAACCAUUUAACAUGCAAGGAAAAUAAUCAUAGAGGAAGAAAUUAACAUUCUAAAUAGACUCAAUCUUUGACCGAAUGUACAAGGUGCCUCUAAGCCACUCAUCCAAAAAUCUUUACCCCAUUCUAGUCAUUCCCCCAUUUGACCGAAUGAACAUUUGUCUAUUGAUGCAUGAAAUUAAACCAUGGGUUAAAUAAGCUAUGCACUUAUCAAUCUAAUCUCAUAGUCAAUUAAAAAGAAAAUCACAAUGCAUACCUUAAACUAGGAUAGCCAUGGCCGAAUACCUUAGUUUUUCCUCUUCAAUCUUCCCUUUCCCAAAUUCGGCCACCAAGAGGAAAGAUGAGCAUGUAAAUUUUUUUUUUCUUUUGUUAUCUUUCUUCAACUCACGGCAAUGGAGGGGGGGGGAACAUGGAUGAGACAACUUUGUUUUCAUCACCCCUCCCUUUUCAUUUCUUUAUUACUAACCUUUUAUUUUAUUCUUUCUCCCAUAAAACACUAAUAUCAAAUAUUUUUAAUAGGCUUUAACUUAUAGCAUGGCCGGCCACCUUCUUGUUCUUUGGUUAAUUUGACAUGCAAAUACAAUUAUUUUGCAACAUGCAUAAAUAGGCCACUUACAUUUGCCUAGCACAUUUCUAAAUUUUCUCACAUAAGUCCUAUUUAAUAAAAUUCACUUACAAUUAACAAAAUUCAAACAUGAAAUUUUCACACAUGCAUAUGUACAUAUAAUAAGCAUCAAAUAUGACAGCUAAUUAUUUUUAUGACUCGGUUUUGUGGUCCCGAAACCACUUUUCGACUAGGGUCAAAUUAAGGGUGUCACAACUCUUCCCCCCUUUAGGGAUUUUCGUCCCCGAAAAUUUCUACCGAUGCAUAGUUUAGGAUAACGUCCUCUUAUUGAAUUAUAUUCAUAUAAACAUUAGCUCAUCGAUGGCAAUUGUAAUUCAUUAUUGAUUUCGCAUCGAUCUAUAAAAUCAUUUUCUUAUCUUAAAACAAAUACAUAAACAUUUCUACAAGUAUGCACAUAUAUCUCAUUUUCUUGAUUUCAUAAGUAAUAAUCACUUAAUUUAAUUCACAAAUGCAUUUCAAACACAUAUUAAGCACAUAUUAAUAUGUAUAAUUCACAUCAUCAACCCACAUAUUUGUAACCCACAUUUUCAUUCAUGUAUAAGCUGUAACCUGACCGAAAGUACACAUAUACUCAAACAUCCCAAUAAAUAUCCUUUAUCACUCCAUCAUAUCUCACUAUUCAACUUAACCUAUUCCCAAUAGAAAAUCAACUUCCACAUACCUGAACAUUGAGUUCAUUUAGCACAUUCAAUCACCGUUAACGAUACCCGUAUACAAUCGAUUUGGCAUCAAGCCUCAUAUUGUAUACCGGCAUGGGAUUUAUUUUAGCACAUAACCCAUAUAUCCAAAAUUAUCAGCAUUCAUCACAAAUUCUUACAGACUUUCAAAUGUCGAACUUAAUCGAAAUAACUUCUUGAAUAUGAUUAACAAAAAAAAAUAGGGGUCAUUUAGCAAUAGCACAUAUGACUUCAUAUACCAAGCAUUCCAUAGACUAAAUUCGUAACACAUUUAUAACAUGAAUUCAUUUCUUAACAACAUAUCCACCAUCUUUUUACUUUCAUCUGAUUUUCUCAUACCUUCCGUACAUACCUGUAUCACUUAUUCUGAUCUUACUUAAUUUAUCAUCUUAAAUAUACCUGUUGAAUCAUUCGAAAUCAUUAUGGAUACUCAUUAAGCACAUAUAGCUCUUACAAUGCCAUAUCCUAGAUAUGGUCUUACAUAUUCUCACAUAUCGAGCCGAUGCCAUGUCCUAGACAUGGUCUUACACACUAUCUCAAAUCAAUGCCUUCGUCCCAGACGAGGUCUUACAUGAAUUCCACUUCACACACUUAGUGCCCACUGACCGAUCUCGCACUCAUAAUGCUCGGUUAAAGGAAUUCGCACACACACAGUGCCUCUAAUCAUUCACACACAUAGUGCUCUUAUUCAUUCGUUAUUACACAUUGAAAUGACUUAACCAAGUCUAUAAACAUCAUGUAUGUACACUUGUAAACAUAUCAUCUCAUUUAAAUUUGAAUUCGUAUAGUAAUGAACACUUAAAAUUUGCUCAAAUUACCGGCACGAAGCCUACUAGGCACGAAGGCCCGGAUACACGUCACCAGCAUGAUUGCUCUUCGGGACCUAGCCCAGAUAUAACACCAGCAUGAAUGCUCUUCGGGGUUUAGCACGGAUAUAUCACUAGCACGAAUGCUCUUCGGAACUUAGUCCGGAUACAUCACUAGCACGAAUGCUCUUCGGAACUUAGUCCGGAUACAUCACUAGCACGAAUGCUCUUCGGGAUUUAGCCUGGAUAUAUCACUAGCACGAAUGCUUUUCGGAACUUAGUCCGGAUACAUCACUAGCACGAAUGCUCUUCGGGAUUUAGCCCGGAUAUAUCACUAGCACGAAUGCUCUUCGGAACUUAGUCCGGAUACAUCACUAGCACGAAUGCUCUUCGGGAUUUAGCCUGGAUAUAUCACUAGCACGAAUGCUCUUCGGAACUUAGUCCGGAUACAUCACUAGCACGAUUGCUCUUCGGAACUUAGUCCGGAUACAUCACUAGCACGAAUGCUCUUCGGGAUUUAGCCCGGACAUUUCACUCUCAAUUCUCAUGUAGAUAUACACAUAUAGCAAUACACAUUAGUAUAUCAUUUACAUUACUUGAAUACAAACACAACAUGCUUAUCGACCAUUCAACUUCCAGUUCCAUAGCCACAUACAAAAAUCACAUUUAUAGUCAUAACACUCUUUCAAAAUUGCAUCACUUAUACCCUUAUAAUUCAAUCCAAAUCGAAAUUCAAAUACGAGUACAUGAUACGUACCUGAUCAACUUAAUAAUUUAGGCAUAUCUAAGUGAAGUUAUAUCGCAGAUUCUCAUAGUCAGAAGCUUGCUACAUCUCGAUCGGGAUCAAGAUUCAUUACAAUACAACAAACACAUUUUAAUAGUCAAAAAUCAUCACACUAUCAUUUUAUCACUUUAUGGCACGUAUAAAUAGACUCACGCGUGCUACGUUAGUCCUAGAAUUGACUAAACCGUAGCUCUGAUACCAAUAAAAUGUAACACCCUAUCCCGUAACCGUCGCCAGAAUAGGUAAGGGGCAUUACCGGACUUGUAACUCAUGUCAGAACAGUAAAAUUUUAAACUUUUUCUUGAAAUAAAGAUCAUUCAUUUAAAUAAGUACUAAGCACAGCCAGAGAUAAAAUUUAAACUUCACUAAGUAAACAUUCAAAAUAUGCCAUUUUCGCAUGGCUUAUAUACAUUAACCAAAAAUAUUCUUCCGCCACUAGUCUAUUCUAUACAUGCCAUAAAAUAGUUCUAAACAUAACAGUAACAAGCAGUGGAUAGUGAUAGUGUGACUAGUUGCUGACGAUCCCCGAGCCUGUAGCUUCGCAAUGAGAUCUAUAAAACAGAGGAAACAGAGUAAACGGAGUAAGCAUUACAAUGCUUUGUAAGUUUUAAGCAGUGUCAACAGAUAACAAUCAAAUUAUAACAUAGUUGUUCGUAUUUUUAUUUCACUCUUCCUUCGGGUAUACCAUCCCUUUACCGAAUAUGCACAUCUCAUCAUAUACAAUAGGCAGAUAAACUUUCACAUAAAAGUGAGCUCAUGUGACAUAGAUAUAUCGUAUGAUUUCACAUAACCUCUCACACUGAUCCGAUGUCACAUAAUCAUAGGAAUAGUCUCAUAGAUUGCUCUCGUAUGCAUCACAUAACUACCUUAUGAUUUAGUGCAAAUCAAGCUCACAUAUAAACUUGGAGUACAUACCUGUUUAACCUUUCGCAUUGAAUAUAUUUAUAAGCAAUUCUUAUUACGAAGUCUUAUAGCUUUAACCUCUACUCGGAUUAUCGGCGAGACCUUUAGCUCGGACGUAAUCUCCACACGAAGUUAUCGGGUCUUACCCGGACAAAAUCUCCACACGUAGUCAUCGGGUCUCACCCGGAAUAUAUUUCCAAGUUUCAUGUACAUCUAAUCACAUGUUACAACAUUCACAUCGACUGUCAUAUUUGUAAUUCAUUUGCCUCAUCAAAUAUCUAAUAAUACACACCUUUCACAUUUGGUCGUUCGGCCACAAUAUACACACAUCGCCUACAUAUUUCACACUAGCCAUUCGGCUUUACCGCAUAUAUGCAUUUUCAUAUUCACCACAUUGGCCAUUCGGCCUUAUCACACAUAUGCAUGCUCACAUUCAUCACAUUGGCCAUUCGGCCUUAUCACAUAUAUGCAUGCUCACAUUUAUCACAUUGGCCAUUCGGCCUCAUCACAUAUAUGCAUGUUCACAUUCAUCACAUAAAAUCCUAAAUCAAAAUAUAAAUUUUCAUGAAUUCACAUCACAAUUAUCCAAAUAUACUUCACAUACCACAUAUACUAUCAUGUAUACACUUUGUCUUGGCCGAAUCUACACCAAUCAUUUUCCAAUGAAUAAUUCAAUUUCACGCCAUACUAUCAUUUCAUAUUCGAAUACUCAUAAACUUACAAUUUCACAAAUUUUAAUAUCGAAGAUCCAUCUAGCACUCAUAUAUCGUUUUACAAUAUCACGAUUUAGAAUUCACGUAUGGGUUUAAUCAAUAGCUUGUGAGCAACUAAAACAAGUUUUAUCCAUAUUUACAACAAAAUCACAUAUUCACUACGAGCUGUUUUCCUGAGCAAUAGUCACUAAAUUAUUUAUAACUGGAGCUACAAAACUCCAAAUCACUUGCCGUUAAUUUUCCCUGAAUAUAGACUCGUAUAUCUUCCAUCCAUAAAAUUUCCAGAAUUUUAGGUUUGGCCAAUCAGUACCAGAUUUUUCUUAAAGUUUCCCCUGUUUCACUGUUUGACUAAUCUGACCACUCUUCACUAUGAAUCAAAUUUUUCAUUGUACAGAAUUCAUAAUUUAUUCUAUUUGAUUUCAUUUGAAACUAGGCUCAUUAAGGAGUCUAAGAAUAUAAAUAUUAUCUUAUAACCAUUUUUGUACAAAUUAUAAUGAUUUUUCAAAAACAGAACAGGGGAUUUCGGAGUCAUUCUGACAUUGUCCCACACAACUUUUAAUAUCUCUUUAUAGGGAAUUUCUUUGCUUACACGGUCUCUUUUAUAAGAAAUUAGACUAACUAAGCUUUGAUUACACAUUUUAUUCAGCUUAUAAUUCCACACCAACAAUUUAUAGUGAUUUUCUAAAAUCACGUUACUGCUGCUGUCCAAAGCAAAUUAUUACAAUUUGCUCUUAAAUUUCCAAGUCCAAACACUUAUGAACUUACCAUUUGAGUUUAAGAUAUAUCAUGACCACAUCAUAUCUUAUUAAAUCAACUCAUUAUGUCCUAUUAUGAUUGAAUUUACUCAACGUUUAAUCACUAAAAACUUACAAAGGAAUCAAACUCAAAUACUUAAGAACUUACCUCGGAAAUUGCCGAACGAUUACAGAUCGACUAUUCGGUUAGGUAGCUUUUUCUCUUUUCCGAAUUAGACUCCCUAAGCUCUUGAGCUUGAAUAAACAAAUUUAAUCUAUUACAAACCAAUUAUACAAACUCAUGGCUGAAUAUAACAAGAAAACUACUGGAUUCUACUAGCCACUCAUUGCCCUAUUAUUAACCUUACUUAAUUAUAAACGCAUUCGGCAAUUUGAUAAUUAAGUUCAUAUCAUGGUAUCAUAACUCAACAUUUAUCAAUAUAUCAUUAACAAAAUAUGCUCAUGUCAAAUUUACUCCUAAUCACAUCUCAAAAUUCAGCAAGCUUAGAACUCAUUUAAUAAUUAAAUUCGGUAGCUUAAUCACUUUGCUAACUACUUAUGCAUAUAAUUCAAUGAUUUUUACAUCAUCUUACAAUCACCAUUAUUCAAGACUUUGAGAUUUCCACAAAUGUUCAUCUAAUGCCUCUAGGCCGAAUGUAAUAUUGCAUCCAAAUUCACAUAGUUUUUUUUUUGUUAUAUCUAAUUCUAAUGUACAUAAUCAUAAUUCAAUUCAACAUUAUAAACCAUUAUCACCCAUUUAGCCGAAUAUACCACAUUAAUUUUUAACAUUACCCAUGUAAAUACCUAUAGGUUCUUAUACCUUAAAUUCACACAUUUAACCCUUGAAUGCCUAUUGAUCAUUCCUUUGGUCUUAACCUAAAUGACAGCUCUCAUUCUCCAUAUUUCAACCGAAUUUUUCAUAGCAUGAAGACUUUCAUACAUUUAUAAAAACUUUCAUAACUCAUUUGGCCUUAUCAAGAACCAUUUAACAUGCAAGGAAAAUAAUCAUAGAGGAAGAAAUUAACAUUCUAAAUAGACUCAAUCUUUGACCGAAUGUACAAGGUGCCUCUAAGCCACUCAUCCAAAAAUCUUUACCCCAUUCUAGUCAUUCCCCCAUUUGACCGAAUGAACAUUUGUCUAUUGAUGCAUGAAAUUAAACCAUGGGUUAAAUAAGCUAUGCACUUAUCAAUCUAAUCUCAUAGUCAAUUAAAAAGAAAAUCACAAUGCAUACCUUAAACUAGGAUAGCCAUGGCCGAAUACCUUAGUUUUUCCUCUUCAAUCUUCCCUUUCCCAAAUUCGGCCACCAAGAAGAAAGAUGAGCAUGUAAAAUUUUUUUUUUCUUUUGUUAUCCUUCUUCAACUCACGGCAAUGGAGGGGGGGGGAACAUGGAUGAGACAACUUUGUUUUCAUCACCCCUCCCUUUUCAUUUCUUUAUUACUAACCUUUUAUUUUAUUCUUUCUCCCAUAAAACACUAACACCAAACGUUUUUAAUAGGCUUUACCUUAUAGCAUGGCCGGCCACCUUCUUGUUCUUUGGUUAAUUUGACAUGCAAAUACAAUUAUUUUGCAACAUGCAUAAAUAGGCCACUUACAUUUGCCUAGCACAUUUCUAAAUUUUCUCACAUAAGUCCUAUUUAAUAAAAUUCACUUACAAUUAACAAAAUUCAAACAUGAAAUUUUCACACAUGCAUAUGUACAUAUAAUAAGCAUCAAAUAUGACAGCUAAUUAUUUUUAUGACUCGGUUUUGUGGUCCCGAAACCACUUUUCGACUAGGGUCAAAUUAAGGGUGUCACAACUCUUCCCCCUUUAGGGAUUUUCGUCCCCGAAAAUUUCUACCGAUGCAUAGUUUAGGAUAACGUCCUCUUAUUGAAUUAUAUUCAUAUAAACAUUAGCUCAUCGAUGGCAAUUGUAAUUCAUUAUUGAUUUCGCAUUGAUCUAUAAAAUCAUUUUCUUAUCUUAAAACAAAUAUAUAAACAUUUCUACAAGUAUGCACAUAUAUCUCAUUUUCUUGAUUUCAUAAGUAAUAAUCACUUAAUUUAAUUCACAAAUGCAUUUCAAACACAUAUUAAGCACAUAUUAAUAUGUAUAAUUCACAUCAUCAACCCACAUAUUUGUAACCCACAUUUUCAUCCAUGUAUAUGCUGUAACCUGACCGAAAGUACACAUAUACUCAAACAUCCCAAUAAAUAUCCUUUAUCACUCCAUCAUAUCUCACUAUUCAACUUAACCUAUUUCCAACAGAAAAUCAACUUCCACAUACCUGAACAUUGAGUUCAUUUAGCACAUUCAAUCACCGUUAACGAUACACGUAUACAAUCGAUUUGGCAUCAAGCCUCAUAUUGUAUACCGGCAUGGGAUUUAUUUUAGCACAUAACCCAUAUAUCCAAAAUUAUCAGCAUUUAUCACAAAUUCUUAUAGACUUUCAAAUGUCGAACUUAAUCGAAAUAACUUUUUGAAUAUGAUUAACAAAAAAAAAUAGGGGUCAUUUAGCAAUAGCACAUAUGACUUCAUAUACUAAGCAUUCCAUAGACUAAAUUCGUAACACAUUUAUAACAUGAAUUCAUUUCUUAACAACAUAUCCACCAUCUUUUUACUUUCAUCUGAUUUUCUCAUACCUUCCGUACAUACCUGUAUCACUUAUUCUGAUCUUACUUAAUUUAUCAUCUUAAAUAUACCUGUUGAAUCAUUCGAAAUCAUUACGGAUACUCAUUAAGCACAUAUAGCUCUUACAAUGCCAUAUCCUAGAUAUGGUCUUACAUAUUCUCACAUAUCGAGCCGAUGCCAUGUCCCAGACAUGGUCUUACACACUAUCUCAAAUCAAUGCCUUCGUCCCAGACGAGGUCUUACAUGAAUUCCACUUCACACACUUAGUGCCCACUGACCGAUCUCGCACUCAUAGUGCUCGGUUAAAGGAAUUCGCACACACACAGUGCCUCUAAUCAUUCACACACAUAGUGCUCUUAUUCAUUCGUUAUUACACAUUGAAAUGACUUAACCAAGUCUAUAAACAUCAUGUAUGUACACUUGUAAACAUAUCAUCUCAUUUAAAUUUGAAUUCGUAUAGUAAUGAACACUUAAACUUUGCUCAAAUUACCGGCACGAAGCCUACUAGGCACGAAGGCCCGAAUACACGUCACCAGUAUGAUUGCUCUUUGGGACCUAGCCCGGAUAUAACACCAGCCCGAAUGCUCUUCGGGGUUUAGCACGGAUAUAUCACUAGCACGAAUGCUCUUCGGAACUUAGUCCGGAUACAUCACUAGCACGAAUGCUCUUCGGGAUUUAACCUGGAUAUAUCACUAGCACGAAUGCUCUUCGGAACUUAGUCCGGAUACAUCACUAGCACGAAUGCUCUUCGGGAUUUAGCCCGGAUAUAUCACUAGCACGAAUGCUCUUCGGAACUUAGUCCGGAUACAUCACUAGCACGAAUCCCCUGUUUCAGGGUUCAACUACUCUGACCUCUGUGUAUUACAAAUCAGAUAUCUCCCUGUACAGAGCUUCAAUGGCUAUUCCGUUUGUCUCUAAUAAAACUAGACUCAAUAAUGAAUCUGUAAAUAUAAUGCAUGACUUCUAAUUAUAUUUGUAAAAUUUAUGGUGAAUUUCCAAAGUCAGAACAGGGGAUUCAGAAAUCGCUCUGGCCCUAUUUCAUAAAAAUUUAAACAUCUCAUAAAAUAUAGCUCAUAUACCUGUUUCGCUUCUCCAUGUGAAAAUAGACUCAUCAAGCUUCGAUUCCAUAACUUAUUCAUUAUUUAAUUCCAUUUCUACUAUUUUUAGUGAUUUUUCAAAUUCACGUCACUACUGCUGUCUGAAUCUAUUUAAUGGUAAAUUUUACCUAUUUCAUGGUUUCCAUGGAUUAGCUAGUAAUUUGACAUACAUAACACCAAAUAUGAUCAUGAUUAGCCAUUCCAAUGGCUACUCAUUACCAAGCAUUUCCAUACCACUCAAUAACCAUAUUAUAAGACCAUAUAUACAAAAUGAUUAUAAUGCUAUACAUGCCAUACUCAAAAUAUACAAGCCAUUAUGCCAAGAUGGUAUACAGAUAGUGUGAGCGAGCCUCCGACCGUUCCCAAUUUCUGGGCUGGCUUGUCAAAACUACAAGGAAUGAAAAAGAGGGAGUAAGCAUAAAUGCUUAAUAAGUUCACAUGCAAGUAGCAAGUAACAUAACCAUAUAAGCAAACAUAAAACAUCAUUUGCAUAAUCAUCCCCAAGACAUUCAUAUCACAUUUUCAUUUAUCAUUUUACCAUAUUGUUGUUAUAUCGAUUUUUCAACCCGAGGGUUAAGUACAUACCUGUUCAAAGUACCCAUUUCACAACACUUAACAAUACGUCCCUUUCAUCUUGAGUAUCCCUCCAUUUCAGUAGAACUUUACCCGUUGAACACAUCGGAAUAUAAUUCGGAUACAUGGAAAGUUUGCACAUAAGUGCCACAUAUGUAGCCAAGCUACCAUGUAACCCGCCCAUAAGCGAACUCGGACUUAACUCAACGAGCUCGGGCGUUCGCAUCCAUAGGUGAACUCGGACUCAACUCAACGAGUUCGGAUGCCUAGUUACAUUUCACGAACUCAUACUUAACUCAAUGAGUUCGGACAUUCGCAUCCAUAAGUGAACUCGGACUCAACUCAACGAGCUCGGAUGCUCAACCAUCCUAGUGACAUGUCACUUGUAUCCUAAUCUAUUCCUAAGGUUCAAACGGGAUUUUCCUCGAACACAUCUCCUUGCCAUCUCCCGUAAAAUACCGAAACCAAUACUCGGUAGUACUUUAUAUUUAACAAUUAAUACACAUAAUUUGCAUUUUAUUCGAAAAUAACCACAAAGCAUAAUAUUUCAUGAUAAUAAUCAGCAUCAUAUCAUAUAAACAACAUUAAAUUGCUUAAAAUGACAAUUAUGUUACUACAUUUACACAUGAACUUACCUCGUAUGCGAAAAUGGCUACUUUUACCAUUUCGUCC